UACGUAGGGGCCAAGCGUUGUCCGGAAUCAUUGGGCGUAAAGGGCGCGUAGGUGGCCCGGUCAGCGUGCGGUGAAAGCUCGGGGCUCAACCCCGAGUCGGCCGUGCGAACUGCUGGGCUUGAGCACUGUAGAGGCAGGCGGAAUUCCGGGUGUAGCGGUGGAAUGCGUAGAGAUCCGGAAGAACACCGGGUGGCGAAGGCGGCCUGCUGGGCAGUGGCUGACACUGAGGCGCGACAGCGUGGGGGAGCAAACAGGG
rnacentral:rRNA from 1 species